rnacentral:rRNA from 1 species
UACGUAGGGGGGCAAGCGUUGUCCGGAAUCAUUGGGCGUAAAGAGCGUGUAGGCGGCCCGAUAAGUCCGCUGUGAAAGUCCAGGGCUCAACCCCUGGAAUGCCGGUGGAUACUGUCGGGCUCGAAUCCGGAAGAGGUGAGUGGAAUUCCUGGUGUAGCGGUGAAAUGCGCAGAUAUCAGGAGGAACACCAAUGGCGAAGGCAGCUCACUGGGACGGUAUUGACGCUGAGACGCGAAAGCGUGGGGAGCAAAAGAUGAUAUACCUAC